UGAACCAAUAAUGAUAGUUUUCAUGAACCGAGGAUUGUGAUUAAUCUACUUCUGGGCACUUGAGGUCCUUU
rnacentral:snoRNA from 1 species